rnacentral:sRNA from 1 species
ACCAUAGCAAAAUCUAUGGUCAGGCGUGGAAACCUGAAAUAUUUUACAAAGGCGCAAAUAAGUCGCGCAAGCGGCUGUUUU